rnacentral:lncRNA from 1 species
UGAAAGAGAGAGAGAGAGAGAGAGAGAGAGAGAGAGAGAGAGAGAGAGUAGAGGGAUAAUUGGGCAAUAUGAAAAACUGCAGGUGUUGUUAAUAUGACCUGAAAUGUAUUUUUCCUAGCUUCUUCCAGGUGAACAAUUUCUUCUUCCAGCAGGAUAUCCAUUUCUGUCAGCAUGUAGGCAGAAUAUUUACAUAAAGUUUACUCCCUUUAAAUUAGCCGCUGCUAAGUAUGGGUGAGCAUGUCUUAAAGCAAAGCCCAACAAAGCAAAAUGGGAAUGUGGAUGACGAUAAGUCGAUAAUGAUACAUUUUCGAUAAAAGGAGAAAGUAGUGUUGAUAGUGAAGGUACAGAUCCAAAUGGUGAAACCCUGUCAAAAGAGAAGGUGAAUCCCUUCUUCGAAUGGAGGAUUACAAAAGAGUGAAAAGACUAACUGAAAUAAUAUUGCAAGCUUGAAUUUACUCUGUGUUGAGUCUCAACUUGGUUUUCUGAAAUCACAUUUGCAUCUGCUGCUAAAAUGAUUUUUGAUAUGGGUUUGCUCAGAAACUUUGGAGAAGAUGAAUAGUGAAAUAAUGAAAUUACCCUUUAUAAUACUAGAGUUAAUACCCGCGCGAUAUAAUAUUCACAUUAUGUAUAUUCCACAUAUGUAUAAGAGCUAUUACAAAAAUUACCUCUAUACAACAAAAUAUCUAGCUAGUCUUGUGUUUUACCUAAAAUAUAAAUGCUUCAAUUGUUUUAAUUUGUACAUAUACAAAGCAGAAGAGAAAAUGACAGAACAACCGAGUAAUAAAUUAUUAUGGUAAUAUAUUAAUAUCUCUAGACUUUUCUGUUUUGUGAGAAAUAUUGGAGCUAUUUCGAGAAGAGUCUAGAGAGUGUGAGAAAGAUGGAGAAAUGUUGGGCGAGAGAGAGAGCGAGAAGCAACGGAAAAAAGAUAUAUAUACCUAGAGUUGAAACGAAGGGUAAAAAUACGGAAUUACAUAGCCUAUCAACAGGGUAAAAAGGUCCAUAGACUGUUCACAGUGCUUAUGAACAGUUAACCAAGCAAUAGUAUAUAGGCACAAAACGGAACAAUAGUGAAAAAGAUGAAAUGAAGCGGCGAUAUUCUCUGAGAUGCAAAGACAGAGAGACGGGAGAAAUAAAAUAAAGAAGGUCUAAAGAGGCAAGAUCGAUCCGAAAGAUUCAGGAAGCAGAAGAAAAGUCAAACAUAGAGGGCAAAAAAUUCUUUGCUGAGAGAGAGCCUAUUUAGAAAAAUCUAAAUUAUCUAUUUCAAAAAACAAAACAAAAAUCACUGUUCACAUGCUUGUGAACAGUCGACUAUGCUAUAGUAUAUAGUUAAAUGUCGGCUGGAUGCUAACAGCACAAGGUACUAUCGUUGGGUCAACGUCAAAGCCUCAGGUAUCUUCUUUAUAUUUUCCAAACACGAAGUGUGUGUGUGUGCAUAUAUAUAUA